rnacentral:lncRNA from 1 species
GCCCAGCCAACAUUUGUUUUUGAAAAGAAGGACCGUCCUUUGAAGCGGCCUGCAGAAGACCCAGUUUGCAAAGCUGAAAAUGAUUUUAAUAGUUGUUCCAGAAAGCGUGGAAGAUCAUCAUCUUUUACUUUCCAGAAGUCUGACUCUCAGUUUAACUCAGAUACAACUCUCACUCAGAAAAGAGAGAGAUCAUCUUCAUUUACCAUCUUUCCUACCUUCCCUCCCUCCCAGCCAGGUAAUUAAAAAAAAAAAGAAAACAAACCCAAUAAAUAUUUAUGGAGAAAAGCAGGUAUUAGUUAAAAUAAACAGGUGUACAGA